CUUCCAAACGGCAGUGGUAUACCACAAGGUUUCUCUGAGUCUAGAAGAAGCUUAUACAAAGAAAAUCCAUUAGACACACAGUCAGAUUCAGCAACUCUUUUCUGGAGAAGAAGAAGAAGAUGGUACUCAUAAUACCUGUGUUGAUCUUAUGGAUGCAACACAUAAGAUCCCAAGUGGACGGACAGCAGAUAAACCAAAUUCCUAAAUUCUCGCUCCUACAAGAAGGAGAGAACUUCACCACAUACUGCAAUUCCUCAAGCACUUUAUACAGCUUUCAGUGGUAUAAGCAGAGGCCUGGGGGGAGUCCCGUCUUCUUGAUGUUGUUGACUAAGCCAGGAGAAGUGAAGAAGCCGAACAGAUUGACAGCUCGGUUUGGAGACACUGGAAAGGACAGCUCCCUGCACAUCACGGCCGCCCAGUCUGCAGAUGCAGGAACCUACUUCUGCGCGGAGGCACAGUGCUCUGGGAGCAUCUGCUGCCUGUCCCCAAACCUCACUGUGGGCCCCAGGUGCAGCUCCUCCUCAUCUCUCCUCAGAGCAGGAGCCAGAGGAAGCUGAAGUCACAAUGUCUAUGAAGAAACUGAACUUUUAAAUUAAAAAAUCCACAGGCUCAGGUAGCGUUAUUAGAGGAUUUUACCAAACAUUUGAACAAAACUUAGCAUAAAUUCUACACAAUUUCUUCUAGAAAAUAGAAAGAAAACAAUUCCUCAUUCAUUUUAUGAAGCUAGUAUUACCCUGAUAGCAAAUCACACAAAGACAAUGCCAAAGAAAACUCCAGAGAAAUAUUCCUCAUUAAUAUAGACACAAAGUUGGUUAACAAGUUUGAUAAAUAUUAACAAGUAGAACUCAUCAGCAUAUAAGAGAAUAAUUCAUUAAGCACAAAUGGAUU